UUGACUGUGUGUCUAUGGACUUUGGGCUUGGUAUCAGCAUGCCAUGUUGGUUUGACUUUGAUUCUGUCCUUUGUAAUUGGUUUUGUUGGUCUUGCAACACUGGAUUCUUUGUUCAAGUGGGUUU